CAACGGAUCUCUUGGUUCUGGCAUCGAUGAAGAACGCAGCGAAAUGCGAUAAGUAAUGUGAAUUGCAGAAUUCAGUGAAUCAUCGAAUCUUUGAACGCACAUUGCGCCCGCCAGCACUCUGGCGGGCAUGCCUGUUCGAGCGUCAUCU
rnacentral:rRNA from 1 species